GCCCAGACUCCUACGGGAGGCAGCAGUGGGGAAUAUUGCACAAUGGGGGAAACCCUGAUGCAGCGACGCCGCGUGAGUGAAGAAGUAUCUCGGUACGUAAAGCUCUAUCAGCAGGGAAGAAAAAAAGUCCUUCGGACUUUGGACGGUACCUGAUUAAGAAGCCCCGGCUAACUACGUGCCAGCAGCCGCGGUAAUACGUAGGGGGCAAGCGUUAUCCGGAUUUACUGGGUGUAAAGGGAGCGUAGACGGCAGCGCAAGUCUGGAGUGAAAUGCCGGGGCCCAACCCCGGAACUGCUUUGGAAACUGCGCAGCUCGAGUGCAGGAGAGGAAAGUGGAAUUCCUAGUGUAGCGGUGAAAUGCGUAGAUAUUAGGAGGAACACCAGUGGCGAAGGCGACUUUCUGGACUGUACCUGACGCUGAGGCGCGAAAGCGUGGGUAGCGAACGGGAUUAGAUACCCCAGUAUGA
rnacentral:rRNA from 1 species